GCGGAAGUGGCGAAAUUGGUAGACGCACUGGAUUUAGGUUCCAGCGCCGCAAGGCGUAAGAGUUCGAGUCUCUUCUUCCGCACCA
rnacentral:tRNA from 1 species